rnacentral:rRNA from 1 species
AUGCGGAUGAGCUGCAAUGGGUGCCGGGUGCUCCGCAAGGGGUGCGGCGAGGGCUGCACCAUCCGCCCCUGCCUGGAGUGGAUCCGGAGCGCCGACGCGCAGGCCAACGCCACCGUCUUCCUCGCCAAGUUCUACGGCCGCGCCGGGCUGCUCAACCUCCUCGCCGCCGACGGCCCCGGCCUCCGCCCGGCGCUCUUCCGCUCGCUGCUCUACGAGGCGUGCGGCCGCAUGGUCAACCCCGUCUACGGCUCCGUCGGCCUGCUCUGGUCCGGCCAGUGGGAGGCCUGCCAGGCCGCCGUCGAGGCCGUGCUCAAGGGCCGCCCCAUCGUCCGGGUCACCUCCGACGCGCCCCUCGCGGCGUGCGACAUCCGCCACGUCGCCAAGGCCGACCGCCCUGCCGCGUCUCCGGAGGCCGCCGCGGCGGCCGGCACGGUCCUCGGCGUCUCGCGCGCCGGGCGCACCGGGUUCAAGCGCGCGUCCUCCUCCACGGCCAAGCCCAAGUCCAAGAGCUUCUCCGGCGCCAAGCACGACGGUGGGCUCGACCAAGCGCCGAGCCACGAGGAGUCCGCCGGCAGCCACGACCACGGCAGCCACGUUGAAGACGACGGCAUGGCAGUCGAGCAGGCGAGGGAAGAAGAGUCGUCCGAGGGCACCGACGUUGACGCGGGCUCGCACGUGAGCCAAGCAGAGCGCAGCCCCGUGCCGCCGGUGGCCCAGGACGAGGAGGCACAUGACGACGAAAUCGGGCUGGAGCUGACGCUGGGGUUCCAGCAGGUCACCCCGCGCGUGGUGGCGAGGUCGCCGCCGGCAGGGGCACGCUUCGGCGCCAGCAGCUCGAGCGCCGAGUCCCGCCACAUCGGCCUGCUGCUUGAGCUGCCCGUGGCAUAG